rnacentral:rRNA from 1 species
GAUGAACGCUGGCGGCGUGCCUAAUACAUGCAAGUCGAGCGAACAGACGAGGAGCUUGCUCCUCUGACGUUAGCGGCGGACGGGUGAGUAACACGUGGAUAACCUACCUAUAAGACUGGGAUAACUUCGGGAAACCGGAGCUAAUACCGGAUAAUAUAUUGAACCGCAUGGUUCAAUAGUGAAAGACGGUUUUGCUGUCACUUAUAGAUGGAUCCGCGCCGCAUUAGCUAGUUGGUAAGGUAACGGCUUACCAAGGCGACGAUGCGUAGCCGACCUGAGAGGGUGAUCGGCCACACUGGAACUGAGACACGGUCCAGACUCCUACGGGAGGCAGCAGUAGGGAAUCUUCCGCAAUGGGCGGAAGCUUGACGGAGCAACGCCGCGUGAGUGAUGAAGGUCUUCGGAUCGUAAAACUCUGUUAUUAGGGAAGAACGAAUGUGUAAGUAACUAUGCACGUCUUGACGGUACCUAAUCAGAAAGCCACGGCUAACUACGUG